rnacentral:rRNA from 1 species
CCUACGGGUGGCUGCAGUGGGGAAUAUUGCACAAUGGGGGAAACCCUGAUGCAGCAACGCCGCGUGAGUGAAGAAGUAUUUCGGUAUGUAAAGCUCUAUCAGCAGGGAAGAAGAAAGACGGUACCUGACUAAGAAGCCCCGGCUAACUACGUGCCAGCAGCCGCGGUAAUACGACGGGGGCAAGCGUUAUCCGGAUUUACUGGUUGUAAAGGGAGCGUAGACGGUGUGGCAAGUCUGAAGUGAAAGCCCGGGGCUCAACCGCGGAACUGCUUUGGAAACUGGAUAGCUUGAGUACUGGAGAGGCAGGCGGAAUUCCUAGUGUAGCGGUGAAAUGCGUAGAUAUUAGGAAGAACACCGAUGGCGAAGGCGGCCUUCUGGACCGAAACUGACGUGGAGGCUCGAAAGCGUGGGGAGCAAACAGGAUUAGAUACCCUUGUAGUC